AGCACUCGCCCACCUGUCCGCUUGCCGUCUCUAUGUCUGGAGCUCUUAGAGAUAAGACAUAGAGGUGUCUGGUUCUGAGAAAAGGAAGUUUUGCUAAGUGAGAGACACAACUGACUCAACUGACUCAGGGGCUGGAGGACACCGACUCUGGGCCCUCUUGACCUGGGCAAUGGCCCAUUAUGAUGGGUGCCAUGACCUCAAAAUGUCACUGGUGCUGAGUGACCGCCCACCUGCCCACCCACUCACCUCUGUGUUGUGCAGCACUUGCACAUAAGACGCACACAGGUGUCUGGUUCUGUGGUGCAUGAACGACUUUUCUAAGCGAGAGACACAGCAGCCUGAGCAGACUCAGAGACUCUGUGGCGAUGGGUGCUGUCCCCAAAUGUAGCCAUUCCACAGGAAAACAAAGUCCCCUCCUGUAUUGACAGCUGGGAAUUGUGGUGUCCACCGUCCUCGACCUGCGACGGGGUCUCCAUGAGCACAGAGGCUGCUCUGGAGUCAACAGAUCAUCUUUUCCCCAAACCAAACUGCUUGGCUGGCGUUGUUCCUGAAGGGGCUU
rnacentral:lncRNA from 1 species